GUCGAACGAUGAAGCCUGGCUUGCUGGGUGGAUUAGUGGCGAACGGGUGAGUAACACGUGAGUAACCUGCCCUUGACUCUGGGAUAAGCGCUGGAAACGGCGUCUAAUACCGGAUAUGACCUGCCCCGGCAUCGGGUGUGGGUGGAAAGUUUUUCGGUCAAGGAUGGACUCGCGGCCUAUCAGCUUGUUGGUGAGGUAAUGGCUCACCAAGGCGACGACGGGUAGCCGGCCUGAGAGGGUGACCGGCCACACUGGGACUGAGACACGGCCCAGACUCCUACGGGAGGCAGCAGUGGGGAAUAUUGCACAAUGGGCGAAAGCCUGAUGCAGCAACGCCGCGUGGGGGAUGACGGCCUUCGGGUUGUAAACCUCUUUUAGUAGGGAAGAAGGGCUUCGGUUUGACGGUACCUGCAGAAAAAGCACCGGCUAACUACGUGCCAGCAGCCGCGGUAAUACGUAGGGUGCAAGCGUUGUCCGGAAUUAUUGGGCGUAAAGAGCUCGUAGGCGGUUUGUCGCGUCUGCUGUGAAAACCCGAGGCUCAACCUCGGGCCUGCAGUGGGUACGGGCAGACUAGAGUGCGGUAGGGGAGAAUGGAAUUCCUGGUGUAGCGGUGGAAUGCGCAGAUAUCAGGAGGAACACCGAUGGCGAAGGCAGUUCUCUGGGCCGUUACUGACGCUGAGGAGCGAAAGCGUGGGGAGCGAACAGGAUUAGAUACCCUGGUAGUCCACGCCGUAAACGUUGGGAACUAGAUGUGGGGGCCUUUCCACGGUCUCCGUGUCGCAGCUAACGCAUUAAGUUCCCCGCCUGGGGAGUACGGCCGCAAGGCUAAAACUCAAAGGAAUUGACGGGGGCCCGCACAAGCGGCGGAGCAUGCGGAUUAAUUCGAUGCAACGCGAAGAACCUUACCAAGGCUUGACAUAUACCGGAAACUUCCAGAGAUGGUUGCCCCGCAAGGUCGGUAUACAGGUGGUGCAUGGUUGUCGUCAGCUCGUGUCGUGAGAUGUUGGGUUAAGUCCCGCAACGAGCGCAACCCUCGUUCUAUGUUGCCAGCACGUUAUGGUGGGAACUCAUAGGAGACUGCCGGGGUCAACUCGGAGGAAGGUGGGGAUGACGUCAAAUCAUCAUGCCCCUUAUGUCUUGGGCUUCACGCAUGCUACAAUGGCCGGUACAAAGGGCUGCGAUACCGUAAGGUGGAGCGAAUCCCAAAAAGCCGGUCUCAGUUCGGAUUGAGGUCUGCAACUCGACCUCAUGAAGUCGGAGUCGCUAGUAAUCGCAGAUCA
rnacentral:rRNA from 1 species